rnacentral:rRNA from 1 species
UGGGCAACCUGCCCUCAGCUCUGGGAUAACUCCGGGAAACCGGGGCUAAUACCGGAUAUGACCACUCCUGGCAUCUGGGGUGGUGGAAAGUUCUUCGGCUGAGGAUGGGCCCGCGGCCUAUCAGCUUGUUGGUGGGGUUACGGCCCACCAAGGCGACGACGGGUAGCCGGCCUGAGAGGGCGACCGGCCACACUGGGACUGAGAUACGGCCCAGACUCCUACGGGAGGCA